rnacentral:rRNA from 1 species
UACGAAGGUGGCAAGCGUUGUUCGGAUUUACUGGGCGUACAGGGAGCGUAGGCGGUUGGAUAAGCCCUCCGUGAAAUCUCCAGGCUUAACCUGGAAAGUGCAGAGGGGACUGUUCAGCUAGAGGAUGGGAGAGGAGCGCGGAAUUCCCGGUGUAGCGGUGAAAUGCGCAGAUAUCGGGAGGAACACCAGCGGCGAAGGCGGCACUCUGGGCUGGAACUGACGCUGAGGAGCGAAAGCGUGGGUAGCAAACAGG